rnacentral:rRNA from 1 species
AUUGAACGCUGGCGGCAUGCCUUACACAUGCAAGUCGAACGGCAGCACGGGUGCUUGCACCUGGUGGCGAGUGGCGAACGGGUGAGUAAUACAUCGGAACAUGUCCUGUAGUGGGGGAUAGCCCGGCGAAAGCCGGAUUAAUACCGCAUACGAUCUACGGAUGAAAGCGGGGGACCUUCGGGCCUCGCGCUAUAGGGUUGGCCGAUGGCUGAUUAGCUAGUUGGUGGGGUAAAGGCCUACCAAGGCGACGAUCAGUAGCUGGUCUGAGAGGACGACCAGCCACACUGGGACUGAGACACGGCCCAGACUCCUACGGGAGGCAGCAGUGGGGAAUUUUGGACAAUGGGCGAAAGCCUGAUCCAGCAAUGCCGCGUGUGUGAAGAAGGCCUUCGGGUUGUAAAGCACUUUUGUCCGGAAAGAAAUCCUUGGCUCUAAUACAGUCGGGGGAUGACGGUACCGGAAGAAUAAGCACCGGCUAACAACGUG